AGCGUAGACGGAGUGGCAAGUCUGAUGUGAAAACCCGGGGCUCAACCCCGGGACUGCAUUGGAAACUGUCAAUCUAGAGUACCGGAGAGGUAAGCGGAAUUCCUAGUGUAGCGGUGAAAUGCGUAGAUAUUAGGAGGAACACCAGUGGCGAAGGCGGCUUACUGGACGGUAACUGACGUUGAGGCUCGAAAGCGUGGGGGGCAAACA
rnacentral:rRNA from 1 species